UCCGUAGGUGAACCUGCGGAAGGAUUAUUG
rnacentral:rRNA from 1 species